rnacentral:lncRNA from 1 species
CACGUAGCAAGUCAGUCAGCCAAAUUCUUAAUACUAUUGAGCCACUACACUUUAAAAAAAAUACAAUUGGCCCACUGUGGUUUUAAAAAUAUUUUUAUGUUUUAUUUUCUUUCUUUUUCUUUACCUAAAUAUUUAUAAUAUGUAUAAUAUUAACAUAAAAUAGAAAAUUUGAUACAAUUAGCAAAAAUUAGUUAAACAAAUGACAUAAAAAUAAAAAGUACUUAUACAAUCAAAACCUCAUUAUUUUUUUAUAAUUUUUUCUUUCUUUUAUCACUUUUCCUUUCUUUUAAUUAUUUUAAUUCUAAAUAAUUCUCCACUCCCAAAAAAUUGAAGGUGAAGAUUAUUCUCAAAAACUCCCAAAAGAUCUCCUGUUAAUUAUCUUCUGAAAACUACUCGUUAAUUCGAGUAAGAUCUCCAUCGGAUUUAUCUGCUAAUUGAGGAUAAUUUUCGGUUGCCCAAACCAAAUUGAACUACUGUUGCUGUGCGGAUGCCACCCGAAAAGAUUAGAGGGUUUGAAACCUUACUUUGUGUUAACACUUUUUUGAAUUUGAGGGGCAGGAAACCCUUGAAUCCGUAUGCAGCACUGAUGUGGGUCGAGAUUGUGGACGAAUCGGGUGUAGAAUUUCACUGUCUUUCGUGUAUUGGGAGUUAUUUGUGGUGCCAUUUAAAAUCGACCGGAUGAUGAUUUUAAAUUCCGCAACUCUCACUAGGGUAAGACUUUUUGGUUCAAUAAUUUGCACCGGGACGCAAAUGGGCAAAGAGCUCUGCGCCUAGGCAAAUUUUUUCCUUUGUAAAAUCUGGCCUGGGCGAGUUUCGGCAGAGAACACCUUGUCGAGGCGAGUUUUCCUUUCACAAUUUCUUCGCCGGGGCAAAGAUUUUGUUUCCGGCCAUAAAAUUUCUUUUAUGUCCUGAUUCCCUGGAUUGUGUACUAAACAUGCAAUAGUUUUAUUUCCUCUCCUCCUCUUGGAAUCUAAUCUCAAAUGGAAAGCAGUUUACAGAUCUGGAAUUUAUUGAAACCCGAUGGAGUUGAUUCCGAAUCUCAAAUGGAUUGAUAAUCUCAAAUGGAGUUGAUAAUCAAAUGGAAAGCAGUUGAUUGAUAAUCUCAAAUGGAGUUGAUUCCGAAUCGGAUUUGGAACCCAAUGGAGUCCUGCAACGUUUGGAAAGGAUUUCUGCGAUGAUGAAAUUCCAUGAGUUUGACUAUUGAACAGAGAGAGGGAGAUAGAAUUAAUCAGCAAAUACACGUCAUUAUUAUUUAAUUUUUUAAAGCCACGUAGGAAAAUCAGCUGAAUUUUUUAACGUCUGUCUACAAAAUUGAACAGUGGACUAAUUGAAUAUUUUAAAAGUACAGUGGCUAAUUGCUUAAAACACUAUAACCACAGUGGUUAAAAAAUACUUUUUACCCUUAACUUUAAGUUAAAAAAAUUCUUUCUUAAUUCUCCUAAAUAAAUCUCAUAUCCGAUUUACCUAACUCAAUUGAAAUUUUCAGAUACAUAUUAAAAUGUGUCCAUGACUCAUACUGGUAUUAAGAAAUGCGACUGACUACUUGAUAUCAGUAAAGUACACAAUCAACACAAGUGCACAUAGAGACCGUGACAGAGAGAAUAUAACACACUACCUUGCUCAUAACAUUAGCCAAUUCUCAUAUUUUAGCCAAAAUAGCUUUAUUUUGGCAUUUUAGCAAACAUUUGGUGUGCAUGUCUGAAAAAUUCAGAUUUCAUAUACAUUUUAUUAUGUUAACACAUAAUCUCCAUGUAAUCCCUCCUUAUACCUUCAGAAUCCAUCUGAUUCUCCAUCAAUUACAACCUUCCACAACCAAUUUCAUUACACAAAAACUAAUACUCAAACAAUCUUUAUGAAUUAGAUUAGAAAAGUGUUUUACCUGUUUUUUUGGAAAUUUGGUUGUGUGAUUCUUUACACAAUCUCUUCAAUGAAUUUGUUCUGAUUUUUUUUUCAACUAGAACCCUCUUUCUCUUGACUUGCCUUCAAUUUGAACGGAUUUUUAGGUAGAGACGAAAGAGAGGAUUGCAGGGGUCAGAAUAUAUGAAAUGAGAGGGCAACAAAUAAAGAAAUGAUUAUAAGUUUAUUUAAGAGCUCAGAUGAUUGCUUAGUGUCAUUAUUAA